CCCCUAGAUGUUCUGGGCCGCACGCGCGCUACACUGAACAGUUCAACAAGUCUUAACCUUGGCCGAUAGGACUGGGUAAUCUUUGAACGCUGUUCGUGACUGGGAUAGACCUUUGCAAUUAUGGGUCUUCAACGAGGAAUUCCUAGUAAACGCAAGUCAUCAGCUUGCAUUGAUUACGUCCCUGCCCUUUGUACACACCGCCCGUCGCACCUACCGAUUGAAUGGUCCGGUGAAAUCUCGGGACGGCGGCUUGGUCGCUUGCGUCCGACUGCUGAAACUUGAUUAAACCAUAUCAUUUAGAGGAAGGUGAAGUCGUAACA
rnacentral:rRNA from 1 species